GACAAGAAAUAACAAUACGGGGCUUAAAGUCUUGUAAUUGGAAUGAUGGGAAUUUAAACCUCUUCCAGAGUAUCAAUUGGAGGGCAAGUCUGGUGCCAGCAGCCGCGGUAAUUCCAGCUCCAAUAGCGUAUAUUAAAAUUGUUGCAGUUAAAAAGCUCGUAGUUGAAUUUCUGCUGCAUUACAUAUCUCUUGUUUGAGUUUGUUUUUGUGGCUUAUUUCGGUUUGAUUUUUUUAUCUUUCCGGAUGAUUACUUUGAGAAAAUUAGAGUGCUCAAAGCAGGCUUUUGCCUUGAAUAGUUUAGCAUGGAAUAAUAAAGUAGGACUUUGGUUCUAUUUUGUUGGUUUUAGGUACCAAAGUAAUGGUUAAUAGGAACAGUUGGGGGCAUUCGUAUUUAACUGUCAGAGGUGAAAUUCUUAG
rnacentral:rRNA from 1 species